rnacentral:rRNA from 1 species
GAGGAAUGUAUAGCAAUAGCUGAUUGCACCAACAGACAGUUGAUGCAAUAUCGUCUAUGUNGAAUAAAAUUCUAGGUAGAAUUAUGAUAAUGACAUUGUCUGCCUAUGUGUCUUGACCAACAUACGUGCCAGCAGUCGCGGUAAUACGUAAAAGACUAGUGUUAUUCAUCUUUAAUAGGUUUAAAGGGUACCUAGACGGUAAAUCAAGCCUUUUACCUUAGGGACUAAUUUACUAGAGUUACUUGUGAGGGGGUUUUAAAGUACUGCUGGUGUAGAGAUGAAAUUCUGUCAUACCUCUUUUCGUAAGAAAAACUAUGGCACAGGUAUAGGCGAAAGCAUCCCCUUAUGUGAUAACUGACGUUGAGGGACGAAGGCUCUUUGUCGCGAACAGGAUUAGUUACCCCAGUAGUCAGAGCAGAAAAUGAUGAAUGUCAUAGAUUAGAUAAAUAAUAUUUACUCUAUAAAUGAAAGUGUAAGCAUUCCACCUCAAGAGUAAUUUGGCAACAUUGGAACUGAAAUCAUUAGACCGUNUCUGGAACCAG